rnacentral:rRNA from 1 species
UGUGUAGGCGGCUAGGUAAGUCGGAUGUGAAAGCCCCGGGCUCAACCCGGGAAGUGCACUCGAUACUGCCAAGCUUGAGUACCGGAGAGGUUGGUGGAAUUCUCGGUGUAGAGGUGAAAUUCGUAGAUAUCGAGAGGAACACCGGUGGCGAAGGCGGCCAACUGGACGAGUACUGACGCUGAGACACGAAAGCGUGGGGAGCAAACAGGAUUAGAUACCCUGGUAGUCCACGCCGUAAACGAUGGGUGCUAGGUGUCACGGGCUUUGACUCCUGUGGUGCCGCAGCAAACGCAUUAAGCACCCCGCCUGGGAAGUACGGCCGCAAGGCUAAA